rnacentral:rRNA from 1 species
CAUGCAGGUGGUUUGUUAAGUCAGAUGUGAAAGCCCUGGGCUCAACCUAGGAAUCGCAUUUGAAACUGACAAGCUAGAGUACUGUAGAGGGGGGUAGAAUUUCAGGUGUAGCGGUGAAAUGCGUAGAGAUCUGAAGGAAUACCGGUGGCGAAGGCGGCCCCCUGGACAGAUACUGACACUCAGAUGCGAAAGCGUGGGGAGCAAACAGGAUUAGAUACCCUGGUAGUCCACGCUGUAAACGAUGUCUACUUGGAGGUUGUGCCCUAGAGGCGUGGCUUUCGGAGCUAACGCGUUAAGUAGACCGCCUGGGGAGUACGGUCGCAAGAUUAAAACUCAAAUGAAUUGACGGGGGCCCGCACAAGCGGUGGAGCAUGUGGUUUAAUUCGAUGCAACGCGAAGAACCUUACCUACUCUUGACAUCCAGAGAAUCUAGCGGAGACGCUGGAGUGCCUUCGGGAGCUCUGAGACAGGUGCUGCA